rnacentral:rRNA from 1 species
UACGUAGGGGGCAAGCGUUGUCCGGAUUUAUUGAGCGUAAAGAGCGUGUAGGCGGUUUGGUAGGUCCGUUGUGAAAACUCGAGGCUCAACCUCGAGACGCCGAUGGAAACCAUCAGACUAGAGUCCGGAAGAGGAGAGUGGAAUUCCUGGUGUAGCGGUGAAAUGCGCAGAUAUCAGGAAGAACACCCGUGGCUAAGGCGGCUCUCUAGUACGGUACUGACGCUGAGACGCGAAAGCGUGGGGAGCGAACAGG